rnacentral:misc_RNA from 1 species
AUGGAUGUAAAGUGGACAAAACUGAAGAUAAUAAAUUAAAUAUUUACCCCAAAAUAUAUUCAUGAAGUUUUCCCUCAAUUAAGACAUAAGAUCAUUCCUGAUUCCAGUGCUCAUGUCCCGGAUCUGUUGGAUCCGCAAGAUUUUGGCUUCCUGGAUCCGGAUCCGGAACCAAAAUCUGAACUGGAAAAGAAAUGCUCACUAGCUGGAUCCGGAUCCAUUUUUUUCCCAGUGCGGAUUCAGGAUCCGGAUCAGCAUCAAAAUUAAAUGGAACCUAAGCACUGCUUAUUUCAUUCAUCUUGAUUUAGAAGAGGGUUCCAUGGACAUGAUGACCGAGGGUUUGACCAGCCGAGAAUACGUGAUCGCCUCGGACAAAAACAAGUUGGGUUCGCUGACGGAGUUCGUGGUGGAUCCAUUCAAAAGCGGAGUAGAGGAGGUCCACCUAGAGCUAACUUUGCUCACCUUGGACUCCUUCCUGACGAUGAUCUAGAUCUAGAUGUAGAAACUAGAUCUGACCAGGCCGGGAGAGGACGACCUGUAUACGGGAUGAGAAGCUGGAGAGGAAUGAGAAGAGGAUCGUUCAGUAGAAAUACAACUGGGAAACCUGCUCUAGUAGGCGGGCUAACCUGGCACAAGAUAACACUGAGGAACGGAGCUAAAUAUGACAAGAUGUUUUUACUGAAAGAGCUUUUACAGAAAUCUGCUGUUAAGUUUCUUCCUAUCUGCUAUCAGGCCAACAACAACAAUUCAACAUUUUAUAUAGAAGAUUCAGCAGCUGCAAGAGCUAUCAAGGACCUGGACAAGAAAAUAGAGCUCCCGGACGGAUUUGAUUUGGUAAUUUCUAUGGAGAGAACAAUACCCCCCAACAUGCCGGUCUCCAAAGAGAUGAUUGAAAAGAUAAAAGUUGUGAUGUCUGAGCGAUACAAUGUUUCAACCUCAGCACUAAACCUCAACGCGUUCCACAAUUCCUUCUCCGGGACAGAUUUCUACGUUCCGUUGAACCGAACCAAUAUAUUAACAAAGGUUGUGGAAAUCAUAGCAGAUCAUAUCCCUGAGGUGAAAGCUAUAGACCUCUCCAACAAUAGAAUAAUGACCCUGGAUGCCCUGGUUGGGUUUAAGAACAAACUCAAGGAGCUCAAUAUACUGUAUCUCAAGGAUAAUAAAUUAACUGAUCUCCGAGGACUAGAGAAAUUAAAAGGAAUAAACUUAACGGAGUUGAAGUUGGAUGGAAAUCCUUGUAAGGAUAGAUUGGGGUCAGCUUAUACAGACUCCGUCAGGAAGAUUUUCCCUUCUCUCCAGGUUUUGGACGAGAAGGUUCUCCCGAAGGAGAUCGGGUUUGAUGACGAUGUAGCGGAAAAAACAGAAAUCCCUGCAUCUCUUCCCAAACUUGUGAAGAAUGAGACUGCUGGAGGAUUGGUUCUACAGUUUCUAGAGCAGUAUUUUAAACUCUAUGAUACAGACAACAGACAACCAUUAUUAGAUGCGUAUGACGAGAACGCAAUGAUGUCGCUGUCUUGUGUUGGUUCCUUCGAACAGUUUAAAAAUUAUCUUGAAGAUUCCCGGAACCUGAAGCGUGUAUCCCAGGAAUCAAGGAGACAUAAACUCCUCAGGAAAGGUCGUCUUCCGAUAGUUUCCUUCCUGGCUGGACUACCCAAGACCCAGCAUGAUCCGACCACCUUCACCCUGGACCUACCCUUUACCAGCGAGACCUUGAUGAUCUUCACCGUCACCGGAAUGUUCAGAGAACGAGAAACUAAACUUAAAGCGAUCCGACACUUUAACAGGUGUUUUAUCGUUGUACCUCGUGGGGCUGGAUUCUGUAUCAUCAAUGAAAUAUUACACGUUACCUUCCCCACUGCAGCAAACGCAAAGCGAGCAUUUACAUCACCAGAGAGUUCAAUGCAGACUUUAAAUAAACCACAGGUCACCGAGGUAGCCCUGGAUCCUGCAUCAAAACAGACCUUGGCCACCGCUUUCUCCGAGAUGACCGGGAUGAACCUGGAGUGGUCUGCCCGGGCACUAGAGGAGAACCUCUGGAACUAUGACAAGGCCAGCAGUGUGUUCAACGAGCUCAAAAAUGCCGGGAAGGUUCCGCCUGAAGCGUUUAUCAAGAUUUAAGAAGCAAAGAAGACAUUUAGAGAUGUUAUCGUAAUUCUUGGACACUUGUACAAUACAUGCUUACUGCUUAAUUAAAGCCAAAAUAUUUUAAUUUCAUUCAGAUAAAUCAAACAGCAGAAAUUAGUUUACGAGCUAAAUUAAUUAACUUUACAUUGAAUUUAUUAACUGAACAUUUUUAACAUUUCCAUAAUAACAGAAUAUAAGUAAUAAAUGAAUUGAUCACAAAAUUGAAAUAAAGCUUCCGGUGGGAACCUUUAUAUUAGAAGCAAAGAUUAAUAAGAUAAAGCAUGAUAGGGUUGUCCAAGCCUUGUAAAUAAACUUAUUUGUUAUGUGUGUGCAUAUAUAUUUAUAUAUAUCUAAAAUACAAAAACACACUCAGAUUCACAAGCCUAGCCUCUGUGAAACUGAGAGAGUCUUGAUUAAAACGAUGGUUUUUCUUUAAAUAAAAAAUUUCAGA